AACAGGACACAGGACAGAGACAGGAGCAGAGACACACAGUGUGGAGCAGGAGGAUUAUCAGAGCUGAUCUGGAGAGUCGUCUACAAACACAGAGUGACGUCCAGAGCUCUGCUGGAGCUGUGGGGAAGUUCAUGAAUGUUAUAGUUGAUGUUUCAGAAAAAAGGAAGAUGUUUGAGAACCAACAAAACACAGACCACAGAUGAACAAAGUGAUGUGGCAUUAGGAGACUUUAUACCAGAUGCCCUCCCUGUUACUGUGUUUAGAGGAAGAAAAGCAGCACAUGG